UCGAGCGAGAAAGGUCCUUCGGGGCCGAGUACAGCGGCGAACGGGUGAGUAACACGUGGGUAACCUACCCCGAAGACCGGGACAACAGCUCGAAAGGGCUGCUAAUACUGGAUGACGUGACGCCCGCUAAGUGGACGUCACCAAAAGGUAGCUUCGGCCUCCGCUUCGGGAUGGGCCCGCGCAGCAUUAGCUUGUUGGUAGGGUAACGGCCUACCAAGGCUGCGAUGCUUAGCUGGUCUGAGAGGACGAUCAGCCACACUGGGACUGAGAUACGGCCCAGACUCCUACGGGAGGCAGCAGUGGGGAAUCUUGCGCAAUGGGCGAAAGCCUGACGCAGCAACGCCGCGUGAGCGAAGAAGGCCUUCGGGUUGUAAAGCUCUGUCAGGAGGGACGAAGCCACUCGGGUGAAUAGCCCAGAGGGUGACGGUACCUCCAGAGGAAGCCCCGGCUAACUACGUGCCAGCAGCCGCGGUAAUACGUAGGGGGCAAGCGUUGUCCGGAAUUAUUGGGCGUAAAGAGCGUGUAGGCGGCUUGUCAAGUCCGGUGUGAAAUCUCGGGGCUCAACCCCGAAACUGCAUUGGAAACUGGCUUGCUAGAGUCCGGAAGAGGAGAUUGGAAUUCCUGGUGUAGCGGUGAAAUGCGCAGAUAUCAGGAAGAACACCCGUGGCGAAGGCGGAUCUCUGGGACGGUACUGACGCUGAGACGCGAAAGCGUGGGGAGCAAACAGGAUUAGAUACCCUGGUAGUCCACGCCGUAAACGAUGGGCACUA
rnacentral:rRNA from 1 species